GAUGCUCUCCUCUCCCACUUCAUCCUACUAUAGAAGACUACUACACCUUCUUCCCCUUGCUCCGAUCUCCCCUCCUCUCCCCAACCCUCACAACUCAUCGACGCUUACAAAGCAGAUUCCGAAGAGAGUUUUAUGGAUGAGAUUGUUCUUCUCCCUUUUCCACUUCAAAUUCUUCUACAAAACGCGAUAUUAGUUUGAUUCGAUUAGAAAGUGGUGCUCCUUGACCUACUUUUUUUAUUGAGACUCUCAUCUUGCCGAAUAUUGGUUGGAGCGGUGCUCCUCAACUUUGGAGCUCUGCUCUUUGAUUGAACCGUGCCAAUAUCACGUAUUACCACUCUGCUUCAAGGCUGUUCGCCCUUCGUUUCAACAUCUGCUUGAGAUCCUAAAUUGGUACAGAUCAGAACUAUUACUUGGUGAAGAUCUCAGUGGAAAUGACAUGCAUGCCUGCAAUGAAACCAUGAGCUGUGAAGUUGGCAAGGAAAGUUCUUCAAAUCCAAAUUCCUAAUUUAUUAUUGCUUUUUUACUCUCUUCAGCAUGCACACCUCCAUCCAAUUCCUGGAGAGAAUAGUCAUCAAAUCCAAGAUCAAUAUGAACUAGCUAAAUACUGAUAUGUGGCCAAGAACCAUCACCCUCAAGCAUCUCUCUACCUCUUCCCUCUACAAAGUAAUUGACACGGAUGCACAACAGAGAACACUCUACAUUUGACAUAUCUCACACACCAAUAUGUUUAGUAUCAGCUGUGCCUGUUGGAGUUGGUGAUGGCAUUUGAGGAGAAGAUCAAUUCCAGUAUAUAGUUUCCGCAGUUUUCUUCAUAUAUACACUAUUAUACAUAUGCCAGACUUAAAUGUGCAAGAUCACUCUUUUUUUUUCCCGAUGCCUGUCAUAGCAUUUUGCAGUGUUGCAGAGAUUUGAGGUCAGAAGAUCUCCGGAUGUCCAACAUGCAGAACAAGCAUAACAUCUACAGUGAAUGGGUGAAAACAUAUGAAAGUGUAAUGUUCAAUAUUAGAAGGCUUCAUGUAAUAAGCUAAAAUUUUGCUUAUGAAUAAACCUUCUAUCAUUUUUGUUGUCA